rnacentral:rRNA from 1 species
UACGGAGGGUGCAAGCGUUAUCCGGAUUCACUGGGUUUAAAGGGUGCGUAGGCGGAUAGGUAAGUCCGUGGUGAAAUCCUGCAGCUUAACUGCAGAACUGCCGUGGAUACUAUCUAUCUUGAAUGUCGUGGAGGUUAGCGGAAUAUGUCAUGUAGCGGUGAAAUGCUUAGAUAUGACAUAGAACACCCAAUUGCGAAGGCAGCUAACUACGCGAUAAUUGACGCUGAUGCACGAAAGCGUGGGGAUCAAACAGG